AAAACGGCCCUUUUAAGGGCCACCACUUCCAUUAUCAUAUCUAAC
rfam:Macrostomum lignano uti_cns_0046494, whole genome shotgun sequence.